AAGAACGAAUAUAAAAGCUUGGCUGUACUUUAACACCGGGGAUUUCGUGGUUUUUAGUGUUUUUGUCUUUGUGUGACAUGCAGGGCGCUUGGUAUGUUAUUGGUUGCUGUACUAGUGAUGAACCGGACUUCUGGAUGCCAUUGGUUUCGCUUCACGUCAGUCUCCUGCGCGCACUCGCCGUGCCCUGUGAACGCGCGCGGACCGCGCGCGCGCGCAGACAGCGUGCCCGAGCGGAGUCUGUCUGGAGUCUGUCUGAAACAAACUGAGCACAAAUGUCGCUGCUGGGACUUUCAGGAGACUCGGCGGAACUUUAUACACACUUUUGAUGUCUCUGAGACUUGUGUGACUGUAAACUCGUCUUUAUUUAUUGACGUUUCUUUCAGCAGACAGUUCGUUUAAAGCACAGGCUUGAAGGUCCUUCCGGAAAGUUCGGCCCCCGAAGCCGUGGCACUCGGACGCUGCUUAAACAUAUCGUGGAAAAGUUCCUGAAAGUAAUCACUUUGAAGCCUCCAGGACAAAACGCUCAAGACGUCCACAUUAUCUGCAUGUUUCACAGAGCAGCUCGACACAUUCGGCUUCGUCUUCUUACUGGUGCUUCGUUUCUGCUGCCUACAUUUUAUUCAGUGCACAACGAUUUCAGACACUAAGAACUGAACCAAAAUACAAAAGUGUCAAAUUAUGUGAAUAAAGUGAAUCAAAUGUUAACAAAAGUGUUAAGUGUGAUUGUAUCUGUCACUAAAACCCAAUAAACAUUGAUUCUCAGGCCCUGUGUGUUCUGUAUAUGUCUAUUAAAGAGGAAAGUGUAAAAACAUGCUAGUUUAGUUUUGUUCAGUUUGUUUUUUGUGUGUCAGCACAGUGUAAUAAACACUAAUGAAAGUGGUAAAUGAGGGUGCGUUUGUCUGCUAACUUAGCAAACAUGAGUGAAGUCAUAAAAUAAUCAUCAUAAUAAUAAUAAUAAUAAUAAUAAUAAUAAUAAUAAUAAUAAUAAUAAUAAUAAUAAUAAUAAACUUUUCCAUAAUAAUCAUUUUUUAGAUUAUGAUAGUUGGGGCUGUUUUUGUCCUAUAAAGAGCAAUUAAUAUCAUUAAAAGUGUUAAUAAGGUCAUAUUUGUGCUCUGUAAUAAAUACAGUGUAAUAAACAUGAAUAACUCUUCACUAUGUUUCGACAAACCUCUAAAGCUCCAUAAAUAUUAAUAACAGUGUUCAGUGAAAUCUCGUGUCCUGUGUGUCUGAAAAGUUUAAAGGAUUUACUCAAACUGUUAGUUUUUUCAAUAUGUCAUUCAAGCUUAAUAAACAUUCAUAACAGUCUUCAGUAAGAUCUCUUCUUCAUGUGUGACUAAAAAAAGAAAAAGAUAAGAAAGAGUUAAACAGGUUUUAUCUGUUCUUAAAAAGCUAACAAAGAUCCACUUUUAUUGUUAAAUGAGGGUCAUUCAUUUGUCACUAAAGCAUUAUAAAGGUUAAUAAAUGUUCAUAACUGUGUUAAGCAAGAUAUUAUUUGUCCUGGAUGUGUCAUGACUUCCUCUAUGUGUCAUUAAAUCAAAAUAAAGGUCUUGAACAUGUUUGUAUUUCUUCUUUUGAAGUGUUAAUAAAAGCACUAAAUGUCCUGAAUGUUACUAAAGCUACAUAAACGUUAAUAAAUGUUUUAAAACUGACAGCUUAUUUGUCUUGAAUGUGUUGUUAUAAAGGGACCAAACAUUAACAACAAUGUUAAAUGUUACAUCGUACAGAGUUCUUCGGGUCAUUAAAAUUGAAUAAAUGUUCGUCUUAGUUGAGGUCGUAUCCGUCACUUCAUAAACGUUAA